rnacentral:rRNA from 1 species
UACAGAGGUCUCAAGCGUUGUUCGGAUUCAUUGGGCGUAAAGGGUGCGUAGGCGGCGCGGUAAGUCGGGUGUGAAAUCUCGGGGCUUAACUCCGAAACUGCAUUCGAUACUGCCGUGCUUGAGGACUGGAGAGGAGACUGGAAUUCCUGGUGUAGCGGUGAAAUGCGCAGAUAUCAGGAGGAACACCGGUGGCGAAGGCGGCUUCCUGGACCGACACUGACGCUGGAGGCGCGAAAGCUAGGGGAGCAAACGGG